rnacentral:rRNA from 1 species
UCGCCUGUUUAUCAAAAACAUGGUCUUUUGUUUAAAUAAAAGAUCUGGCCUGCCCAAUGAUUUUAUUUAAUGGCUGCAGUAUAUUGACUGUACAAAGGUAGCAUAAUCACUUGUCUCUUAAUUGGAGUCUGGAAUGAAUGGUUGGAUGAAAAAUUUACUUUCUUUAUUUUAAAUAAUUUAACUUAAUUUUUGAAUCAAAAAGUUUAGAUUUUAUUAGAGGACGAGAAGACCCUAUAGAACUUUAUUUUUUCUAUGAUUGUUGUUUAGUUGUAAAUAAUUUUCAUUUGUUUUAGUAAAAAAUUGUGUUGGGGUGACAGAAAAAAUUAAAUAACUUUUUCUAUAUUAAUCAUGAACUGUGAUUUUUUGACCCUUUAUUAUGGAUAAAAUGAUUGAGUUACCUUAGGGAUAACAGCGUUAUUAUUUUAGAGAGUUCAUAUCGAUAAAAUAGUUUGCGACCUCGAUGUUGGAUUAAAAUUAGUGUCAGGAGUAGAUAAUUGAUUGACUAGGUCUGUUCGACCUUUAAAUUUUUACAUGAUCUGAGUUCAAACCGGAGA